UUUCUCCUCCAAUCUUUCUCUUUUUUUUCUUUCCUUUCCAGAUUCUAAUGUGUUAGAAGUUCCACAGAGUUGGAGAAUGGUAUGACCGCCUCUCUUUUUUGGUUGUGAGAUCACACGUGCAAAUCCCAGUUCAUCAAGAUUUUUUUUCUUCUGAUAAAGGUCCUUUUUGGAAUGCAAUAAAAGAAAA
rnacentral:ribozyme from 13 species